rnacentral:lncRNA from 1 species
AAGGUGCUUCCCCAGAUGCAAACGCCCAGACUGGCCGUUGCUAAUGGACCAGAAUAAAUACAUACAAAUCCAGCGUGGGGGAAACCGGCUUUGCUGGCGGCAGAAGGGGAAGCUCCCAAGGCUCCAUCCUUCUUACUGGAGAGUCUCCCCCACCCUUUGCCAGGGGAUCCCCUGUGGACAGCUGCAGGCUGCUUCACACCAUGAGUAACAUUUCCCUGGGAUGCUUUCAGAGUCGUGAGGUUUAAG